CUGAAAUAUACCAUUGAACCUGGCAAGGUGGGAGUCUGCGGUGAUCUUGUCAAGAGUAGCAUCCAAAGUAGAGGAAAUGCAAGCCUGACCAGACAGUUUUGUGGGGAGAAGAGAAGACAAAACCAUGAGGAACACAUUGCUAUCAAUCACAUUUGGAGAUGGAAGAAUUGAAGAUCUGGGAAGUUCAGUAAACUGCCCAAAGCAGCACAGCCAGUCAAAUGGAAACCAUGAUGGAAGCAAGGUCUAUUUUCC
rnacentral:lncRNA from 10 species